rfam:Equus caballus chromosome 4, whole genome shotgun sequence.
GGCCAGCCACAUACCAUCCUGAACACACCCGAUCUUAUCUGAUCUGGAAAGCUAAGCAGGGUUGAGCCUGGUGAGUACUUGGAUGGGAAACAUUCUGUCUUUUUGAAUUUGCUUUUGUUUGGUUC